rnacentral:rRNA from 1 species
CAGUAGCCGCGGGAAAACGUAGGUGGCAAGCGUUGUCCGGAAUUAUUGGGCGUAAAGGGCUCGCAGGCGGUUUCUUAAGUCUGAUGUGAAAGCCCCCGGCUCAACCGGGGAGGGUCAUUGGAAACUGGGAAACUUGAGUGCAGAAGAGGAGAGUGGAAUUCCACGUGUAGCGGUGAAAUGCGUAGAGAUGUGGAGGAACACCAGUGGCGAAAGCGACUCUCUGGUCUGUAACUGACGCUGAGGAGCGAAAGCGUGGGGAGCGAACAGGAUUAGAUACCCCGGUAGUCCCUGUCUCUUAUAC